rnacentral:rRNA from 1 species
AGCAGUCGCCGCGGUAAUACGUAGGUCCCGAGCGUUGUCCGGAUUUAUUGGGCGUAAAGCGAGCGCAGGCGGUUAGAUAAGUCUGAAGUUAAAGGCUGUGGCUUAACCAUAGUACGCUUUGGAAACUGUUUAACUUGAGUGCAAGAGGGGAGAGUGGAAUUCCAUGUGUAGCGGUGAAAUGCGUAGAUAUAUGGAGGAACACCGGUGGCGAAAGCGGCUCUCUGGUCUGUAACUGACGCUGAGGCUCGAAAGCGUGGGGAGCAAACAGGAUUAGAUACCCGGGUAGUCCCUGUCUCUUAUACA